rnacentral:ncRNA from 1 species
UAUAUAACCUUAUAAUUAAGUACAAUCGACUCAAAACUGGUACAGACAAGGGGAAUCUGACUGUUUAAUUAAAACAACACUUUUCAAUGGUCCCUAUGGAUGCUGACACAAUGUGAUUUAUGGCCAAUGCUCUACAUGUCAAAGUGAAGAAAUUCAACCAAAUGUGGGUAAACUUUGGGAAUAACUAUGUCUCUCUUAAUGUAUCCAUAUGCCUCAUCAUCUAAUUAGUGACGUUCAUUAAUGGAUUAAUGAGAUUCCCACUAUCCCUAUAUACUAAUGG